rnacentral:rRNA from 1 species
CUGCUGGAGGCGCACAUCGCUUGCCUCCGCGUCUCCACCCCCGUCGACCAGCUCCCCCGCAUCGAUGCGCAGAUCGCCGCGCGCGCCCCGCCGCCCGUGCCCCCCGCUGCCGCGCCCGCCGGCGGCGAGGAGCUCGACCUCUUCAUGACACACUAUGUGCUGCUCCUCUGUUCCUUCAAGGAACAGCUCCAGCAGCAUGUGCGCGUCCACGCCAUGGAGGCGGUGAUGGCCUGCUGGGAGCUCGAGCAAACUCUGCAGAGUCUUACAGGGGCAUCUCCUGGUGAAGGCACCGGGGCAACUAUGUCCAAUGACGAAGACAAUCCGGUCGACAGUGAGAGCAACAUGUUUGACGGGAAUGAUGUGUCAGAUGGCAUGGGCUUCGGAAUGCUAACCGAGGGUGAGAGAUCCUUGGUCGAGCGCGUGAGGCAAGAGCUGAAGCAUGAGCUUAAACAGGGGUAUAGAUAAAAGCUUGUGGACAUCAGGGAGUAGAUACUGCGGAAGCGAAGAGCCGGAAAGCUCCCAGGGGACACGGCAUCUACCCUGAAAGCUUGGUGGCAAGCCCACGCCAAAUGGCCGUACCCAACUGAGGAGGACAAGGCGCGGCUGGUGCAGGAGACGGGGCUGCAGCUGAAGCAGAUCAACAACUAGUUCAUCAACCAGCGCAAGCGGAACUGGCACAGCAACCCUACCUCGUCCUCGUCAGACAAGAGCAAGAGAAAAAGGAACAAUGCAGGUGAGGGCAACACCGAACAGUCCUGGUAG